rnacentral:rRNA from 1 species
AUUGAACGCUGGCGGAAUGCUUUACACAUGCAAGUCGAACGAUGAACCUUAGCUUGCUAAGGGGAUUAGUGGCGAACGGGUGAGUAAUAUAUCUGAACGUUCCUUGUAAUGGGGGAUAACUAGUCGAAAGAUUAGCUAAUACCGCAUACGCCCUGAGGGGGAAAGUAGGGGAUCUUCGGACCUUACGUUAUAAGAGCGGCCGAUAUCUGAUUAGCUAGUUGGUGGGGUAAUGGCCUACCAAGGCGACGAUCAGUAGCUGGUCUGAGAGGACGACCAGCCACACUGGAACUGAGACACGGUCCAGACUCCUACGGGAGGCAGCAGUGGGGAAUUUUGGACAAUGGGCGCAAGCCUGAUCCAGCCAUUCCGCGUGAGUGAAGAAGGCCUUCGGGUUGUAAAGCUCUUUCGCAAGGGAAGAAAACUUACCAUCGAAUAAAUGGUGAGGCUGACGGUACCUUGAUAAGAAGCACCGGCUAACUACGUG